GAUGAACGCUGGCGGCGUGCCUAACACAUGCAAGUCGAGCGAGGGUUUGCUCAGUAUUGAGUAUUCUAAGACUAGAAUGUUCAAUACUGAGCAAAACCAAGCGGCGGACGGGUGAGUAACGCGUGGGUAACCUGCCCUAUACACAUGGAUAACAUACUGAAAAGUUUACUAAUACAUGAUAAUAUAUAUUUGUGGCAUCGCAGAUAUAUCAAAGUGUUAGCGGUAUAGGAUGGACCCGCGUCUGAUUAGCUAGUUGGUGAGAUAACUGCCCACCAAGGCGACGAUCAGUAGCCGACCUGAGAGGGUGAUCGGCCACAUUGGAACUGAGACACGGUCCAAACUCCUACGGGAGGCAGCAGUGGGGAAUAUUGCACAAUGGGCGAAAGCCUGAUGCAGCAACGCCGCGUGAACGAUGAAGGUCUUCGGAUCGUAAAGUUCUGUUGCAGGGGAAGAUAAUGACGGUACCCUGUGAGGAAGCCCCGGCUAACUACGUGCCAGCAGCCGCGGUAAUACGUAGGGGGCUAGCGUUAUCCGGAUUUACUGGGCGUAAAGGGUGCGUAGGUGGUCCUUCAAGUCGGUGGUUAAAGGCUACGGCUCAACCGUAGUAAGCCGCCGAAACUGGAGGACUUGAGUGCAGGAGAGGAAAGUGGAAUUCCCAGUGUAGCGGUGAAAUGCGUAGAUAUUGGGAGGAACACCAGUAGCGAAGGCGGCUUUCUGGACUGCAACUGACACUGAGGCACGAAAGCGUGGGUAGCAAACAGG
rnacentral:rRNA from 1 species